rnacentral:pre_miRNA from 1 species
AUAGAAAUCACCUGGGGAUCUUGUUAAAAAUUCAGAUUCUCAUUAAGCAUAUCUGGAAUAGAACCAAAGAUUCUAGAUUUCUAACAAGUUCUCAGGGGAUACCUCU